rnacentral:rRNA from 2 species
GCAGUCGAACGAACUCUGGUAUUGAUUGGUGCUUGCAUCAUGAUUUACAUUUGAGUGAGUGGCGAACUGGUGAGUAACACGUGGGAAACCUGCCCAGAAGCGGGGGAUAACACCUGGAAACAGAUGCUAAUACCGCAUAACAACUUGGACCGCAUGGUCCGAGUUUGAAAGAUGGCUUCGGCUAUCACUUUUGGAUGGUCCCGCGGCGUAUUAGCUAGAUGGUGAGGUAACGGCUCACCAUGGCAAUGAUACGUAGCCGACCUGAGAGGGUAAUCGGCCACAUUGGGACUGAGACACGGCCCAAACUCCUACGGGAGGCAGCAGUAGGGAAUCUUCCACAAUGGACGAAAGUCUGAUGGAGCAACGCCGCGUGAGUGAAGAAGGGUUUCGGCUCGUAAAACUCUGUUGUUAAAGAAGAACAUAUCUGAGAGUAACUGUUCAGGUAUUGACGGUAUUUAACCAGAAAGCCACGGCUAACUACGUGCCAGCAGCCGCGGUAAUACGUAGGUGGCAAGCGUUGUCCGGAUUUAUUGGGCGUAAAGCGAGCGCAGGCGGUUUUUUAAGUCUGAUGUGAAAGCCUUCGGCUCAACCGAAGAAGUGCAUCGGAAACUGGGAAACUUGAGUGCAGAAGAGGACAGUGGAACUCCAUGUGUAGCGGUGAAAUGCGUAGAUAUAUGGAAGAACACCAGUGGCGAAGGCGGCUGUCUGGUCUGUAACUGACGCUGAGGCUCGAAAGUAUGGGUAGCAAACAGGAUUAGAUACCCUGGUAGUCCAUACCGUAAACGAUGAAUGCUAAGUGUUGGAGGGUUUCCGCCCUUCAGUGCUGCAGCUAACGCAUUAAGCAUUCCGCCUGGGGAGUACGGCCGCAAGGCUGAAACUCAAAGGAAUUGACGGGGGCCCGCACAAGCGGUGGAGCAUGUGGUUUAAUUCGAAGCUACGCGAAGAACCUUACCAGGUCUUGACAUACUAUGCAAAUCUAAGAGAUUAGACGUUCCCUUCGGGGACAUGGAUACAGGUGGUGCAUGGUUGUCGUCAGCUCGUGUCGUGAGAUGUUGGGUUAAGUCCCGCAACGAGCGCAACCCUUAUUAUCAGUUGCCAGCAUUAAGUUGGGCACUCUGGUGAGACUGCCGGUGACAAACCGGAGGAAGGUGGGGAUGACGUCAAAUCAUCAUGCCCCUUAUGACCUGGGCUACACACGUGCUACAAUGGAUGGUACAACGAGUUGCGAACUCGCGAGAGUAAGCUAAUCUCUUAAAGCCAUUCUCAGUUCGGAUUGUAGGCUGCAACUCGCCUACAUGAAGUCGGAAUCGCUAGUAAUCGCGGAUCAGCAUGCCGCGGUGAAUACGUUCCCGGGCCUUGUACACACCGCCCGUCACACCAUGAGAGUUUGUAACACCCAAAGUCGGUGGGGUAA